rnacentral:rRNA from 1 species
UACGUAGGGGGCAAGCGUUGUCCGGAAUUAUUGGGCGUAAAGCGCGCGCAGGCGGUCGUUUAAGUCUGGUGUUUAAGCCCGGGGCUCAACCCCGGUACGCACUGGAAACUGGGCGACUGGAGUACAGAAGAGGAGAGUGGAAUUCCACGUGUAGCGGUGAAAUGCGUAGAUAUGUGGAGGAACACCAGUGGCGAAGGCGACUCUCUGGUCUGUAACUGACGCUGAGGCGCGAAAGCGUGGGGAGCAAACAGG